ensembl:lncRNA
UUAAUCACUUCUUGUUGAGGAGUUCCCGUAGGGAGCGGUGGGGUCUCCUCCUCCACCACAACAGGCAGUCUGGCAGCGGGGACUACGAUAACCACCCGGGACCACCAGUGACAGACAGGUUCACCUGCCGGGACACCCACAGUUCGCAGCCCAUCGUCGGAUAUGGAGGUGGUCCGGCCAGCGGAACAGCGAGGCCCCCAGGUGGAGGGUUGACAGGUCCCGGGUACUCUGGUCUCCAUCUCUGCCGGGCGCUUUGGACUUGUUGUUGUCACGUGAUACGAAACUCACACCCUGGGACUCGAACUUUUGCAACAGGGGAGCCAGCCACACAACAAGGCGAGGUUGAUAUCACGGUAUCAGUGAUCAGUUGUGAUUAAACACUCCUCCGGGAACGGAGAAGAGAUUCUGAUCAUUUGAGAUGUGUAUACCGGAGAGAAGAGAAAUCUAUGUAGGCUACUAGUAGCCUUACUGUCAACAUUAUUACUAUUUUAUUAGCCUAUUCAAGUUUACCAUCAUUAUUGUUGGUAUUAUAAUAAUACAUAUUAUUAUCGUGAUACACUGUUAUUAUCUAUUUUCUCUUAGUAAUUUGGCAACUGAAAAUAAAUAUACUUACAAUUAUAAACGCCAUUAAUUUCUGUUAUUGUUUAUUGUAAAUAGUGCCCUGCGUAAUGUGUGAAACCGCGCUCGAACUAAGGUAUGCUUUUAACAUCCAUUAAGUUAACAUCCAUUAUAUCUGUCCUCAGAGCUUAUGUUGUGGUUACUAUUUAAGGAAGAUGUCCACAAUUCCAAACUACUAUUCCAGGCUUUUGCUGAGGUGGUUGAAUGACAAGAUGAAACAAAGAACUAUGAUAGGCUUUUCAUUAUCUCAACGUCGGAGAGAGCUGAGGUCGUGUUAAGGGUUGUAAGUCUUUCAGGUCCAAGAGUUAAUAAUAACAGAAACAAAC